CGCGUAGGCGGUCAUGCAAGUCAGGUGUGAAAUCCCCAGGCUUAACCUGGGAACUGCGCUUGAAACUGCAUAGCUUGAGGCCGGGAGAGGAAAGUGGAAUUCCUGGUGUAGCGGUGAAAUGCGUAGAUAUCAGGAGGAACACCGGUGGCGAAGGCGGCUUUCUGGACCGGUUCUGACGCUGAAGCGCGAAAGCGUGGGGAGCAAACGG
rnacentral:rRNA from 1 species